UGCAAGUCGAGCGGAAUUUAUUGGUGCUUGCACCUUAAAUUUAGCGGCGGACGGGUGAGUAACACGUGGGUAACCUACCUUAUAGAUUGGGAUAACUCCGGAAACCGGGGCUAAUACCGAAUAAUACUUUUUAACACAUGUUUGAAAGUUGAAAGACGGUUUCGGCUGUCACUAUAAGAUGGACCCGCGGCGCAUUAGCUAGUUGGUGAGGUAACGGCUCACCAAGGCAACGAUGCGUAGCCGACCUGAGAGGGUGAUCGGCCACACUGGGACUGAGACACGGCCCAGACUCCUACGGGAGGCAGCAGUAGGGAAUCUUCCACAAUGGACGAAAGUCUGAUGGAGCAACGCCGCCGUGAGUGAAGAAGGAUUUCGGUUCGUAAAACUCUGUUGCAAGGGAAGAACAAGUAGCGUAGUAACUGGCGCUACCUUGACGGUACCUUGUUAGAAAGCCACGGCUAACUACGUGCCAGCCGCCGC
rnacentral:rRNA from 1 species